rnacentral:rRNA from 1 species
GCUCCUAGUACGAGAGGACCGGAGUGGACGAACCUCUGGUGUUCGGGUUGUGUCGCCAGACGCAUUGCCCGGUAGCUAAGUUCGGAAUCGAUAACCGCUGAAAGCAUCUAAGCGGGAAGCGAGCCCUGAGAUGAGUCUUCCCUGAUACUUUAAGUAUCCUAAAGGGUUGUCGGAGACUACGACGUUGAUAGGUCAGGUGUGUAAGUGCUGUGAGGCAUUGAGCUAACUGAUACUAAUUGCCCGUGAGGCUUAACCAUACAACACCCAAGGGGUUU